rnacentral:rRNA from 1 species
ACGGGAGGCAGCAGUGAGGAAUAUUGGUCAAUGGGCGAGAGCCUGAACCAGCCAAGUAGCGUGAAGGAUGACUGCCCUACGGGUUGUAAACUUCUUUUAUACGGGAAUAAAAAAGGCCACGUGUGGCCUCUUGUAUGUACCGUAUGAAUAAGCAUCGGCUAAUUCCGUGCCAGCAGCCGCGGUAAUACGGAAGAUGCGAGCGUUAUCCGGAUUUAUUGGGUUUAAAGGGAGCGUAGGCGGGCUUUUAAGUCAGUGGUAAAAGCGUGUGGCUCAACCAUACCACGCCAUUGAAACUGGAGGCCUUGAGUGCACACAGGGAUGCUGGAAUUCGUCGUGUAGCGGUGAAAUGCUUAGAUAUGACGAAGAACUCCGAUCGCGAAGGCAGGUGUCCGGGGUGUAACUGACGCUGAGGCUCGAAAGUGCGGGUAUCAAACAGGAUUAGAUACCCUGGUA